rnacentral:rRNA from 1 species
AUUGAACGCUGGCGGCAUGCCUUACACAUGCAAGUCGAACGGUAACGGGCCUUCGGGUGCCGACGAGUGGCGAACGGGUGAGUAAUACAUCGGAACGUGCCCGAUCGUGGGGGAUAACGAGGCGAAAGCUUUGCUAAUACCGCAUACGAUCUACGGAUGAAAGCAGGGGACCGCAAGGCCUUGCGCGGACGGAGCGGCCGAUGGCAGAUUAGGUAGUUGGUGGGAUAAAAGCUUACCAAGCCGACGAUCUGUAGCUGGUCUGAGAGGAUGAUCAGCCACGCUGGGACUGAGACACGGCCCAGACUCCUACGGGAGGCAGCAGUGGGGAAUUUUGGACAAUGGGCGCAAGCCUGAUCCAGCCAUGCCGCGUGCAGGAUGAAGGCCUUCGGGUUGUAAACUGCUUUUGUACGGAACGAAAAGCCUUCUUUUAAUACAGGAGGGUCAUGACGGUACCGUAAGAAUAAGCACCGGCUAACUACGUG